rnacentral:lncRNA from 1 species
CGGAAUGCUCAAACGAAUGAAAUGAUUGUUUGAAUUCCAUUCCUUCACUUAAACUUGUCUAAGUCACACUGUUUGGUGAAUAGACAAAAGUAAUUUAUUUAGAAAAGCUAGUUGAAAGCCUAGAUUUGUUUUAGCCCUACAGUUUUAUCCAUUGUAUAAUCUUUUCGUUAUGAAAAACUCCAGGACAUGUAAACAAACAGAGGGUUCAUUAUAAUCAUUUUCGUCUGAUGUUACUUCCAUGCUGACAAUUUCUCAAUUGUCUGUGAUUUAAGAAUCCGUGUUUAGAAUUCCAGCUAAAAUUUCGGCCAACUUAAUAGGAAUAAAUAUAUCAUUUUUAGAGCCUUUCUGAAAAUAAUCCUGGGCUUAUCACAAGAAAAUACCAGAAAAGUCGCACAAUAUAUUUAAGUUAUUCUACCGGAAGUCUAAUUUAUAUUCUAAGCCACAAGCUUUCAACUUGAUUGAGUACCAUCCACAGGCAUACGUAUAUCAGUACUCAUAUAUUUGAGGCAUAUCUCCUGAUAUACUGGUAUAGAAGAAGAUAAAGAACCAAAGAGGGAAAAUAUCAAAAUGUUUUACGAAUUAUUAAUGGUCGUGACAAUAGCAUGCUGCUUUACAUUUUUAAUAUAUUUUUGUGAUAUUUAUCCACAGCCGCCGCAACUAUUCAGAUUUCCAUUUUGACCUGACCAAGACCGCAAACUACAAAUGACGACGAUGGUUUCUCUCAGAUAUUUGACUUGAAUUUACUAUGCAAGAAAAGAACACAGUUUCUCAUACAGCUGGAAUUUAUACAAGCUUGUAGCAUAUACCCAAAUAUCUUUGGAGCAGUACUGAAUACCAACAUUGAGCAUACAAUGGAAAAUGAAAUGAAUGUAGCCGCUUCAAAAAGGAAUCAACUCAAUCAUGUAAAUUACAUCCAACACUUAACUGUUACAUAUUGAAUGUUGUAAAAAAAAAUAAUAAAAACAUAACCUAAAAGU